rnacentral:rRNA from 2 species
UUCGAAGCAACGCGUAAGAACCUUCAGGCUUGACAUUGCCGCUGACCGGUGCAGAGAUGCAUCUUUAUCCUUCGGGGUACAGCGGACACAGGUGUGCAUGGUUGUCGUCAGCUCGUGUCGUGAGAUGUUGGGUUAAGUCCCGCAACGAGCGCAACCCUUGUCUUUAGUUGCCAUCAUUAAGUUGGGCACUCUAAAGAGACUGCCGAUGACAAAUCGGAGGAAGGUGGGGAUGACGUCAAAUCAUCAUGCCCUUUAUGUCCUGGGCUACACACGUGCUACAAUGGUCGGUACAACGAGAAGCAAGUCAGCGAUGGCAAGCAAAUCUCUAAAAGCCGAUCCCAGUUCGGAUUGCAGGCUGCAACUCGCCUGCAUGAAGUCGGAGUUGCUAGUAAUCGCGGAUCAGAAUGCCGCGGUGAAUGCGUUCCCGGGUCUU